rnacentral:rRNA from 1 species
AUUGAACGCUGGAGGCAGGCUUAACACAUGCAAGUCGAGCGGGGGAAGGUAGCUUGCUACUGGACCUAGCGGCGGACGGGUGAGUAAUGCUUAGGAAUCUGCCUAUUAGUGGGGGACAACAUCUCGAAAGGGAUGCUAAUACCGCAUACGUCCUACGGGAGAAAGCAGGGGAUCUUCGGACCUUGCGCUAAUAGAUGAGCCUAAGUCGGAUUAGCUAGUUGGUGGGGUAAAGGCCUACCAAGGCGACGAUCUGUAGCGGGUCUGAGAGGAUGAUCCGCCACACUGGGACUGAGACACGGCCCAGACUCCUACGGGAGGCAGCAGUGGGGAAUAUUGGACAAUGGGGGGAACCCUGAUUCAGCCAUGCCGCGUGUGUGAAGAAGGCCUUAUGGUUGUAAAGCACUUUAAGCGAGGAGGAGGCUACUUUAGUUAAUACCUAGAGAUAGUGGACGUUACUCGCAGAAUAAGCACCGGCUAACUCUGUGCCAGCCGCCGCAGUAA